GACCAGAAAAAAAAAAAAAAAAGGGGAACGUAACGGUGCUGCAAUGAAAUGAAAUAAAACUAGGGCAAGAAGCCGAGAGAAAGAAAAAGAAUUCGAAACAAAGCGAAGACUAUAAAUAUAUUUAGCAGGAAAACCGCCGUUGCAGGUUUGUUCACAAGAGUUCAACGUUGAAGCCUAGCCCCAAGUCAUCUUAAAGGUUGCUUGUGCACAUGUGCUUGGAAAUAAGGGAAUGUUGGAGCUCUUCUACUUCGAGAAUUCUUGAUGUAGAGCACUUGUUGAGUAUCAUAGGGGUGCUUCCAAUCCCAUAAUGUAAGUUAAUUGGGCAAUGUUUCUAGGAAUAAUACCAUAAAAACAUUCAUUUCACUUGAGUUGAUGAAUGAAAACUUGCACACUAAAAGGAGGCUCACCAAUAUUAAAAUAGAGGGGCUGAUUUUUAGAUAUGAACAAAAUGGAGACAAAAUGAUAGGGUUGAAUGGGCUAGAGAGGGAUAUGGUAAGAAUACAAUACUUACACAAUUGUCAUUGGAACAGAACAUAUUGUCAACUACUUUCAGAACUGUAUUAAGGUAUUGAGGUCAGGAGACCAGCUAUUCUUAGGUUUAAUUGAGCUCCUAGCACAUUAAAGAAGGUUAGACGGUCAGGGAGGAAAUUUUGAGGAGAUUGAAUGGGAUGUUAUGUUGUGCUAUUUAAAUAAAGCUCGAGGACACAUAUCUUUCCUUUAUUCUCUUUCAAAGUGGUUGGAAAUAUGUUAGCCCUCGAUUGUAGCAACAUAUCACAGAAGACAGCAAAGCAAUGAAGGUCUACAAGAGGAGGACAAAAGAUAUAAAGUGGCAAAUGAGGCAGGAGGAAAACAGAUAAGGCAACAAGAGAAAUGAAGGUAGGCAGUUCUGGUUUUUAAAUUUAGUAAAUUAGGAUUCAAUAAUAAGGGGAGGGUAUCUAUCUAAAUAGCUUAGGAAUAAUUCAGACCCUUUUGAGCAGAGUAACUGUGUAGGCAUUGAUAAACAGGUGGAGUGCCUGGAUAGUGUAAUCAUUAGCUGUAAUUCCAUUCUUCUCAAUAAAAGUAUUUUGUUUCUCACAA